rnacentral:tRNA from 1 species
AGGCUUGUAGCUCAGGCGGUUAGAGCGCACCCCUGAUAAGGGUGAGGUCGGUGGUUCAAGUCCACUCAGGCCUA